ensembl:lncRNA
GCACGGAGCGGAAGAGAAGGAAAAACACCGGAAAUGGGCCAAAGUUAUAGGGAUUAGCGUUGGCCUCUUCCCUGGAUGUUGUCAGACACCCAGGCCUUGCAAGACGAAUCAGCGGGUGAAGAAGCGUCUGACACCAAGUCUGACAACUUGAAUUGUACAGACACAUGGAUGGCUACAGGCGGGGAAACAGUUUACCAAAGGAGAGAAACAGAGAACUCCAGAGUCCACCAGACCCAGGCUGAGGCCCAGCUCCAAAAGGGACC